rnacentral:rRNA from 1 species
UACGUAGGGGGCAAGCGUUGUUCGGAAUCACUGGGCGUAAAGGGAGCGUAGGCGGAAGAAUAAGUUAGAAGUUUAAUAUACUGGCUUAGCCAGUAAUCUGCUUCUAAUACUGUUUUUCUUGAGUAUGGGAGAGGGAGAUGGAAUUCCAGGUGUAGCGGUGGAAUGCGUAGAUAUCUGGAAGAACACCAGCUGCGAAGGCGGUCUCCUGGCCCAAUACUGACGCUGAGGCUCGAAAGCUAGGGGAG